AGAGCUUGCUCUCCAGGCGUCGAGUGGCGGACGGGUGAGUAAUGCAUAGGAAUCUGCCCAGUAGCGGGGGACAACUUGGGGAAACUCAAACUAAUACCGCAUACGCCCUACGGGGGAAAGCGGGGGACCUUCGGGCCUCGCACUAUUGGAUGAGCCUAUGUCUGAUUAGCUUGUUGGUGGGGUAAUGGCCUAUCAAGGCGACGAUCAGUAGCUGGUCUGAGAGGACGAUCAGCCACACUGGGACUGAGACACGGCCCAGACUCC
rnacentral:rRNA from 1 species